rnacentral:rRNA from 1 species
UUCCUUUGAGUUUCAGCCUUGCGACCAUACUCCCCAGGCGGAGCACUUAACACUUUCGCUUCGGUCGGAAACCUAUGGAGGAGCCUCCAACCUAGUGCUCAUCGUUUACAGCUAGGACUACCGGGGUAUCUAAUCCCGUUCGCUACCCUAGCUUCCGUGCCUCAGCGUCAGAAAAGACCCAGUGAGCCGCUUUCGCUACAGGUGUUCCUAAUGAUAUCAACGCAUUUCACCGCUCCACCAUUAGUUCCGCCCACCUCUAUCUUCCUCUAGCUUGGCAGUUUUGAGCGCAGUUCCUCGGUUGAGCCGAGGGAUUUCACACCCAACUUGUCUAGUCGCCUACGCACCCUUUAAGCCCAGUGAUUCCGAAUAACGUUUGGACGGUUCGACUUACCGCGGCUGCUGGCACGAACUUAGCCCGUCCUUCCUCUGAAGAUAGGUCAACUAUGGGGGAGAACCCCCAUAGAUUUCCUCCCAACUGACAGCGGUUUACAACCCGAAGGCCUUCAUCCCGCACGCGGCGUCGCUCCGUCAGGCUUUCGCCCAUUGCGGA